UAGCAAGCUAGGGUGAUGUCUAAACAGAAGAGUCUCUGAGGUUACCUAGUCAGCACCUCUACCUUGUUUGGAUGAUACCAAUGCACAGGUCUCUCUGAGACUACUGAUUCAAAUUGCUGGUCCUUCAGUGGUUGAGAAAGAUCAAAGAAGGAGGAGACCCACCCCCAUUCUGGUGGAUGCACGUUACUGUGGAGGUUGACAUCAUGUAGUGAAGUGAUACUCCAAUAUCUUGUCAGAUGGGACAUGGCAUGUUGAAGAAAACAGACCUAAGGGAAUAAAUGCUGCAUCAAGUGUUUCCUGGAGGAAGGCCUCAUCCCCUGAACCCACCAGAUGGCAAUUCUGUAGGGAGUCUGGUGCUUGAGCCUUGAAGAUGGGACAAUAAUGCUAAAAUCCACCCACUUUUUGGGCCUGCAACGUGGCUAAAUCAAAUAUCCCUGCACAAUGUCUUAUAGUUACUGUGUGGAAGUUGGUAUCAUGUAUAGAACAGCAAUUCCACCCUGCAGGAAGUAUCAUCAAGUAAGAACUGCCAGAGAACCAAAAGAAACAAAAACAUCAGUUAUUUGCACAGUUCUAAUGGUGCGUCAGAGGGGAUGCAGAAGACAAUUUUCCUUCACAGAGACCACAUCUAAUCCAAGCAGGUGUGGACAGUGUUUUCAGUCCACGAGAGGAAGGAGAGAGUGGCUGUCUCCCUGCACUGUGGGCAACACGGGGAGCAUAGCUAGCUGCCUGUGCUCGGGAGGAGAGAUGUUUCCCCUUUCAUUUGUGCUAGUAGCAUAGCAUCACGGUGUGUGACCCAAACAACCCAACCCCUUCUCAGGAACUGCCAAAAAUGAGUGGCAUCCUCAGAGCUCUGUCAGGGAUGGAUGUACAUAAUGGGAUUCUUCUGCAGAAAAUAAAAUGUU